UAUAGAGGUCUCAAGCGUUGUUCGGAUUCAUUGGGCGUAAAGGGUGCGUAGGCGGCGCGGUAAGUCGGGUGUGAAAUCUUGGAGCUUAACUCCGAAACUGCAUUCGAUACUGCCGUGCUUGAGGACUGGAGAGGAGACUGGAAUUUACGGUGUAGCGGUGAAAUGCGUAGAUAUCGUAAGGAAGACCAGUGGCGAAGGCGACUACCUGGCCUGUUCUUGACGCUGAGGCGCGAAAGCUAGGGGAGCAAACGGG
rnacentral:rRNA from 1 species